CCUACGGGUGGCAGCAGUGAGGAAUAUUGGUCAAUGGACGAGAGUCUGAACCAGCCAAGUAGCGUGAAGGAUGAAUGCCCUAUGGGUUGUAAACUUCUUUUAUAAAGGAAUAAAACGAGGCACGUGUGCCUUUUUGCAUGUACUUUAUGAAUAAGGAUCGGCUAACUCCGUGCCAGCAGCCGCGGUAAUACGGAGGAUCCGAGCGUUAUCCGGAUUUGUUGGGUUUAAAGGGAGCGUAGAGGGGUUGUUAAGUCAGUUGUGAAAGUUCGCGGCUUAACCGUAAAAUUGCAAUUGAUACUGGCAGUCUUGAGUACAGUUGAGGGAGGUGGAAUUCGAGGUGUAGCGGUGAAAUGCGUAGAUAUGACGAAGAACCCCGAUUGCGAAGGCAGCCUACUAAACUGUGACUGACAUUGAUGUUCGAAAGUGUGGGUAUCAAACAGGAUUAGAUACCCCUGUAGUC
rnacentral:rRNA from 1 species